rnacentral:lncRNA from 1 species
AGGGUGUGGCGCCCGGGAGGAGCGCGCCACCUCUAGGCCUAUCACUGGGGAUUUUGUUCCCGGGAUGUCCCUGUGUGCAGACCCCAAGGAGUGCCAUUCCGCUUCCUGCGAAAAGGAUGCCUGUUCUUUGUCGAUAUUAAGGUUAUUUCCUAAAUGGUGCUAUUAGGACCAGUUUAAUGCUUGUACCAUAGUCGUCAUCGAUUAAAAAUAUAGCCGGGCGUGGUGGCGCACUCGGGAGGCUGAGGCAGGAGGAUCGCUGUAAGUUCGAGACCAGAUUGAGCUACAUAGUGAGUUCCAGGUCAGUCUCAACUACAUAGUGAGACCCUGUCUCAAAAAACAAAAACAAAUACACACACACACACACACGUGUGUGAGUGUGUGUGUGUGUGUGUGUGUAUGCUGUGAUUUACUUCAUUAGUGCCAUCCAUAUUUCAAGAUAAUCUGUUAAAACAUAAAAAUGUAAGUGUGAUACAAACUUCAUUUUCUCACCCUGGAAGGCACCCUCUCUCUGGAAUCUUCCCUCCCAGAUAAUGUCCACAGUCAGCUUUCCUGGAUGUCCCCAGCCAUAGGUCCCCUCGUGUGUCCUCACAGAGUGAUUGGACCUGAGCCCAGAAUUCAAAGCGAGAUAUUAAAAAUGUUGGGACACAGAUGAGCCAGACAAGGACUCAAUGUCAGAGCCAUCUUCAUCGUUUGUGUGUCACCAAUUUCGAGCACCGUGCCAGGGUAUCUACAUUGCACUUAGCUUUUCUAGCUACGUGGACAAAGGAAUUAAGGAAAACAGCUACAAAAAGGUUCACAAAGAGAGGUUCACCAGGAGAUGAAUAGGGAACUGAGUGACUGGCUACUCAGGAUGGCUGGGACAUCAAAGUGCAGGAAUGUUAGCAGCCCAGAAGAUGCCCAGCUGUUCACAGAACAAGGAGCAGAACGACUGUAGAAAUUCCAUGUUGAUUUAACUGACUUGAUUUUAUCAACUACUAUGAAUACUAGCACUCAUAGGAAUCAUGUUGAGAACUUUAUACAUAGCAAUGUUUAUGUCCUUCUAAAGACCAAGGAAAUCAGAAUUUCUGAUGUAAUAUAUGUCAAAGGUACAUGAACAUAUAUAUUUAUGGGUAUAUAGGUACUGACAUAUCAUAUUGCACAUAUACUAGAGAUAUAAAUAAUAUGUUAGUAAAAUAGGGUUGAACAGGUGAAGAGGAAAUAUACAUGUUUGUUGGCUGGAGAGGUCGCAGUUCAUUAGUCGCAUGCUUUCUUUGCCUGCCUUUUUCUUUUCCUCCUUCACAAGGUUCCUCUCAACACAAUAUAUAACCUUUAAAAGAGGAAGCUUCUAACAUGUCAGUGGCAGCUUUCAUUUGGUAUAUCAACAUUAUCAAACUCAGGAACUUGUCUUGAGAGUAAAUAUUUAUAAAUCUAGAUGGUUAAGCCUGAUUGCUGUCUCAUAGUUAAAAUGAGCCGGAAAGAGAGUGACUCAUUAGAAUUAUUGUUUGCAUUAGCUAUUCUAC